UACGGGGGGGGCAAGCGUUGUUCGGAAUUACUGGGCGUAAAGGGCUCGUAGGCGGCCCUCUCAGUCGGAUGUGAAAUCCCCAGGCUUAACCUGGGAACGGCAUCCGAUACUGGAGGGCUUGAAUUCGGGAGAGGGAUGCAGAAUUCCAGGUGUAGCGGUGAAAUGCGUAGAUAUCUGGAGGAACACCUGUGGCGAAAGCGGCGCACUGGACCAUAACUGACGCUGAGGCGCGAAAGCUAGGGGAGCAAACAGG
rnacentral:rRNA from 1 species